AUGCAGGUGAUUGCAUAUGGCGUUCCGGCUGACUAUGCCGAUGAGUACCUUCGCAUUGGUGAAGAUACCACAAUUGAGUCAGUGCGUAGAUUUGCCAAAGUGAUCAUCCGUGUCUUUGGUCCUGAAUAUCUUCGGGCACCCAACGAGGAUGACACAAAGAAAUUGAUGGCAUCUAAUGAGAGGAGAGGCAUGGCAAGGAAUGUAUUGUGGCAAGUCUCGUGA
rnacentral:rRNA from 1 species